UACGUAGGGUGCAAGCAUUAUCCGGAGUGACUGGGCGUAAAGAGUUGCGUAGGUGGUUUGUUAAGCGAGUAGUGAAAUCAGACGGCUCAACCGUACUGGCUAUUACUCGAACUGGCAAACUCGAGAAUGGUAGAGGUAACUGGAAUUUCUUGUGUAGGAGUGAAAUCCGUAGAUAUAAGAAGGAACACCAAUGGCGUAGGCAGGUUACUGGACCAUUUCUGACACUAAGGCACGAAAGCGUGGGGAGCGAACGGG
rnacentral:rRNA from 1 species